CUGUACAGGCCAGUUGCCAGUGAGGGCUCUUGUGCGCUGUGGUCCGCUAUGUGAUGGUGCCCGGUAUUUUUUUUUUCUUUUUGUGUUGCCAUUGAAGACCGGUCUCCGAAGUUGAAGGGAAAGAAGUGUAUUGAGAUAUUGAUAUUACAAGGACUAGGAAGAAAUCGUGAGACUUUUAAUUUAAAUUUUUCGCGUGUCCACAUCUGACGGUUUAAUAGAAAGGAAGGAAAAGGGAAAAUUGUGAAGCCGAGACAACUGGAAAGCAAAAAGAAAAAGAAAUUAAGCCACAGAGAAAAAGAAAAGAAAAUGUAUUACAGCCACAGACUAAGAAAAAGUUAAUCAAACAAAGACAGAGAAAGAAAUAAAGCACAGAGAAGAACAACAGCAAACGAAACAAAGACACAAAGAAGAAAAAGCAAAAACAAACAAAAAAUAUCAAAGGAAACAAUAAAAAACUCCCAUUUAGAUGAGGACCGCGUAGCCUGGACAAACCGCCCACCACAUUUAUAAACAUGGUAUCACUCAAGUCUUGCGAGCCGAGCCCUCAGGUGAGAAAUGGCCUGUUUGAUGGUAAUGUCCCCGGUGCGUAUGUUACGUUUUGGUGAUCCAACGAAAGGUAAGAAUAAAUUAGAUU